GAGUAUUUUUUACGUUUUUUUUUUAUCGGAUCUAUCCAUCCUACGAUCUCGUCUGCAGACACAAAAACAAGAUCUUAAAUACGAUCCCAAUUUUGAAAACUUGAUAGAUAUUAGAAACUGAGGACUUGGACCACUAUUUCUUGCAUUCAUCACCAUUAAUCCCAAUUCAUCCGCCAUGAGCUAGAUUUCCUCAAUCCCUAAUCAUCAGCUCCAUCUUUCACAAAAGAAUCCCCUUUUUCAAUCCAUCUGCCAUUAUCCUAUUACUGUCGGUGAAAAAAUAAAAAUAAAAAUAAAAGAACCGACGGGAAACAGAGGAGGAGCCGCUGCCACUGCUGGGUCGUCGGAGUUUGUCCAUACCACCACGGUUAUCAAGUCGUCAUUUAAAAUGCACUGCGAUUCUAAGUCCCAAGAGUAUGGCCCUCCCUGGAUUAUGUUUUUGCAGCUCCAUCUACAUUCAUCUUAAUCCAGCCCUCCUGUGGUUUGUCCCAGCUGAUGUAUUUCGGCUGGCUCCUGUUCUCCGUGCGAGUAUUGUUAAGCUCCUGAGCCUCUACUGCUUGCUGGAUUAGCUGCUCCGGACGGGCUUUGAGCUCUCUGUCCAGCCUCUGAUGAACCUUCUCAUUCCUCGCUGUCCAUGCCCAGUGCACUACCUCUUGGGAGAGCACGGGCCAGAGCUGAUGAUGUGGUGAAAUUCCCAUUUGCCUCUGGACUCCAAGUGAUUGUGUCUGGGUUAUCCAGCUCCUUGUAGACUGCUGUUGCUCUAGUCAGACUCAGUGUAUUCUGGUGCAGAUAUUUGCUCAGGGUACUCCAGACCCAACCCAAUCUGAUAUUGUUCGUCUUCAUCCCAAUGGGAGCUCGCUGCUCUAAAUUAGGAUUUUGCUGGUGGCCUUCCAACCUCAUGAAACUGCCAACGUCUCUUAUUCCUCUGAUCUUGAGAAAUGUGGAGAAAAUGAAGGAUGAAACUGCCAGCAUUUAAAGAAUGCAGUUUAGAUGAGUUGAAGGUGGCAACUUCAGGAUUCUCAGUUGAAAACUUUUUAUCAGAACAUGGAGAGAAAGCUCCCGAUGUUGUCUACAAUUGGCAGCUUGAAGAUGACGGCUCAUGGAUUGCUGUCAAACGUUUCAAUAAGUCUUUUGGCCGGAUUCCCGAUUAUUAUUACUUCUUUUCAGCAAGUCCCCAGUUAUAGUGUUUCACAAAUGCGAUAUUAUCUUAUUUAUGUACGUGCCUUGAUAUCAGCCAUUGUACUUAGUUAGCCAUGAGUAUGGUAGAUGUUAUGCAGAUUUAAGAUUUGUUGUAUGCAAUUUGUAGGUUGAUUAAGUGAGGAAACUUAUUGUAGGCUGAUGUGAAUUGAAACCUUGAUUAUACUGUUGUUAUACCUUUGUUUAAGGUCACAUGGGAUGAAGUAUCUUGCUUCUACCAAUAAUAUAAAGUCAAUUUCAUGUUUU